UACAGAGGGUGCGAGCGUUGUCCGGAAUCACCGGGCGUAAAGGGCGCGUAGGUGGCGACCCAAGUCCGUGGUGAAAGCUCGUCGCUUAACGACGAGUCGGCCACGGAGACUGGGUGGCUCGAGCACUGUAGGGGCAGAUGGAAUUCCGGGUGUAGCGGUGGGAUGCGUAGAGAUCCGGAAGAACACCAGUGGCGAAGGCGGUCUGCUGGGCAGUUGCUGACACUGAGGCGCGACAGCGUGGGGAGCAAACAGG
rnacentral:rRNA from 1 species